rnacentral:rRNA from 1 species
GAUGAACGCUAGCUACAGGCUUAACACAUGCAAGUCGAGGGGAAACGACAUCGAAAGCUUGCUUUUGAUGGGCGUCGACCGGCGCACGGGUGAGUAACGCGUAUCCAACCUGCCCACCACUUGGGGAUAACCUUGCGAAAGUAAGACUAAUACCCAAUGAUAUCUCUAGAAGACAUCUGAAAGGGAUUAAAGAUUUAUCGGUGAUGGAUGGGGAUGCGCCUGAUUAGCUUGUUGGCGGGGUAACGGCGCACCAAGGCGACGAUCAGUAGGGGUUCUGAGCGGAAGGUCCCCCACAUUGGAACUGAGACACGGUCCAAACUCCUACGGGAGGCAGCAGUGAGGAAUAUUGGUCAAUGGACGAGAGUCUGAACCAGCCAAGUAGCGUGCAGGAUGACGGCCCUAUGGGUUGUAAACUGCUUUUAUAAGGGAAUAAAGUGAGUCUCGUGAGACUUUUUGCAUGUACCUUAUGAAUAAGGACCGGCUAAUUCCGUGCCAGCAGCCGCCGUAA